UCGGAAUCUGGGAGGACCAUCUCCUAAGGCUAAAUACUCUCUAGUGACCGAUAGUGAACCAGUACCGUGAGGGAAAGGUGAAAAGCACCCCGGAAGGGGAGUGAAAUAGAACCUGAAACCGUGUGCUUACAAGUAGUCAGAGCCCGUUAAUGGGUGAUGGCGUGCCUUUUGUAGAAUGAACCGGCGAGUUACGAUUUGAUGCAAGGUUAAGCAGUAAAUGUGGAGCCGUAGCGAAAGCGAGUCUGAAUAGGGCGUUUAGUAUUUGGUCGUAGACCCGAAACCAGGUGAUCUACCCUUGGUCAGGUUGAAGUUCAGGUAACACUGAAUGGAGGACCGAACCGACUUACGUUGAAAAGUGAGCGGAUGAACUGAGGGUAGCGGAGAAAUUCCAAUCGAACCUGGAGAUAGCUGGUUCUCUCCGAAAUAGCUUUAGGGCUAGCCUCAAGUGAUGAUUAUUGGAGGUAGAGCACUGUUUGGACGAGGGGCCCCUCUCGGGUUACCGAAUUCAGACAAACUCCGAAUGCCAAUUAAUUUAACUUGGGAGUCAGAACAUGGGUGAUAAGGUCCGUGUUCGAAAGGGAAACAGCCCAGACCACCAGCUAAGGUCCCAAAAUAUAUGUUAAGUGGAAAAGGAUGUGGCGUUGCCCAGACAACUAGGAUGUUGGCUUAGAAGCAGCCAUCAUUUAAAGAGUGCGUAAUAGCUCACUAGUCGAGUGACACUGCGCCGAAAAUGUACCGGGGCUAAACAUAUUACCGAAGCUGUGGAUUGUCCUUUGGACAAUGGUAGGAGAGCGUUCUAAGGGCGUUGAAGCAUGAUCGUAAGGACAUGUGGAGCGCUUAGAAGUGAGAAUGCCGGUGUGAGUAGCGAAAGACGGGUGAGAAUCCCGUCCACCGAUUGACUAAGGUUUCCAGAGGAAGGCUCGUCCGCUCUGGGUUAGUCGGGUCCUAAGCUGAGGCCGACAGGCGUAGGCGAUGGAUAACAGGUUGAUAUUCCUGUACCACCUAUAAUCGUUUUAAUCGAUGGGGGGACGCAGUAGGAUAGGCGAAGCGUGCGAUUGGAUUGCACGUCUAAGCAGUAAGGCUGAGUAUUAGGCAAAUCCGGUACUCGUUAAGGCUGAGCUGUGAUGGGGAGAAGACAUUGUGUCUUCGAGUCGUUGAUUUCACACUGCCGAGAAAAGCCUCUAGAUAGAAAAUAGGUGCCCGUACCGCAAACCGACACAGGUAGUCAAGAUGAGAAUUCUAAGGUGAGCGAGCGAACUCUCGUUAAGGAACUCGGCAAAAUGACCCCGUAACUUCGGGAGAAGGGGUGCUCUUUAGGGUUAACGCCCAGAAGAGCCGCAGUGAAUAGGCCCAAGCGACUGUUUAUCAAAAACACAGGUCUCUGCUAAACCGUAAGGUGAUGUAUAGGGGCUGACGCCUGCCCGGUGCUGGAAGGUUAAGAGGAGUGGUUAGCUUCUGCGAAGCUACGAAUCGAAGCCCCAGUAAACGGCGGCCGUAACUAUAACGGUCCUAAGGUAGCGAAAUUCCUUGUCGGGUAAGUUCCGACCCGCACGAAAGGCGUAACGAUUUGGGCACUGUCUCAACGAGAGACUCGGUGAAAUCAUAGUACCUGUGAAGAUGCAGGUUACCCGCGACAGGACGGAAAGACCCCGUGGAGCUUUACUGUAGCCUGAUAUUGAAAUUCGGCACAGCUUGUACAGGAUAGGUAGGAGCCUUUGAAACGUGAGCGCUAGCUUACGUGGAGGCGCUGGUGGGAUACUACCCUAGCUGUGUUGGCUUUCUAACCCGCACCACUUAUCGUGGUGGGAGACAGUGUCAGGCGGGCAGUUUGACUGGGGCGGUCGCCUCCUAAAAGGUAACGGAGGCGCUCAAAGGUUCCCUCAGAAUGGUUGGAAAUCAUUCAUAGAGUGUAAAGGCAUAAGGGAGCUUGACUGCGAGACCUACAAGUCGAGCAGGGUCGAAAGACGGACUUAGUGAUCCGGUGGUUCCGCAUGGAAGGGCCAUCGCUCAACGGAUAAAAGCUACCCCGGGGAUAACAGGCUUAUCUCCCCCAAGAGUUCACAUCGACGGGGAGGUUUGGCACCUCGAUGUCGGCUCAUCGCAUCCUGGGGCUGUAGUCGGUCCCAAGGGUUGGGCUGUUCGCCCAUUAAAGCGGUACGCGAGCUGGGUUCAGAACGUCGUGAGACAGUUCGGUCCCUAUCCGUCGUGGGCGUAGGAAAUUUGAGAGGAGCUGUCCUUAGUACGAGAGGACCGGGAUGGACAUACCUCUGGUGUACCAGUUGUCGU
rnacentral:rRNA from 1 species